AAAAAGUAACAAAAGACACUUCAACACUAGUGGGCUUUGCUAGUUUUGCAAUAGUGGCUGGCUGCGCUCAUAGAUAAAGGGUGCAACCGUCAUUUCAAAUGCCUUCAAUAAUUUAUUAAAAAGGUGAAAGAAAAGGAAAAAAAAAUAUAACUCAAAAACAAAUAAUAUCAUCGCCCUCUCAUUGGUUGGAUAAACAUGUAACUUUCAAAGGUAAAAUCAUUAAUAAAUAUAUAUAAAUGGUUAUAUCGUCG
rnacentral:lncRNA from 1 species